CUAUAGGAGUCAAGAGUGGCUGAGUGAUGGAGAUGAUAUGGUUGAGAGCUGAGAAAGUAAGCAGGCGGGAGAGCAGAAAUGGUAGCUGUGAGUGUAGCUAAACAUAACAAAGCUUGAUUUGUUGGUUUUUUACACCCAUACCCACAGGUUAUAUUUUAGUUGGAUUGUAUUUUUUUUUAAACCUUUUAUGUGAAAGUCAAUUGUUAGGCCAUCUAAACAUGCUCACCCAUCAAAACACCACCAGAAAGGGUUCCCAGGCUAGUGCCCAAAAAGUCUGUUUAGGAUCAUAAAGAUGAAAGAGAGCUUGGAAAUCACUGAGUAGCACACACCAAGGCAGAAAGCAUGGGCUCUGAAGUCAGACCACAUUUACUAAGUAGGUAACCUUAUGGGGUAUGUAAUCCCACUAGGCCUCAUUCUCCUUAUGUAUUACAUGGAACAAAACCAGCCUCACAGGCUUGUCAUGAGGAUGAAAUGAGACGAUCCUGGGCAAUGUGUGAAAGCUGAGUUGCUUGUUAUUCCCAUCACCACAUCGUGUUAUGUGAAAGAAACCUCGGGUCUGUCAUUGACAAGUAAUUGAGGCUUUGCUGGGUCACCCCAAGGGCUAAGGGAUUUGAUGCACUUGUGUUUCUACAACACUAGAAGCCCAAGAGUUGAGACUGUGAUCACACAUAUGCCACUAUUUUCUCCCCAUCAUAUAAAAGAAUAGCAUAGGGAAAUGAUGAAUGCCCAACUAGAGGAAUUAUUAAUUAAUCUGACCUCUUCUUUUUUACAUCUACAGAAACUGGGGCAUAGGGAGGUGAAAUGACUAGGCUUAAGGGCCCCAGCUAGACUGUGGCAGAACAGGAACUAGGAACCACGAACAAGUCAGCCAGGACCUUGCACUGCAGCCAUGACUUUUAAAGACCCUGGAAAGACACCCAUGGCACCAGAGGUGGCGAUUCAUCAAAUUAGAAUUACUCUAACAAGACACAGUGUAAAAUCUUUAGAGAAGGCCCCACGAGGAAGCCAGCUCAGCUUCCUUGCUUAUAGCUUCUGUUGCUUGAACUGGGGAUGAGACCUCUCAUCACGCCCCUCCAUCCUCCUAUUUCAGCUUCUAUGGGGAGCAAAUCGGAGCACGGGGCCAACAGGAUAUCAGCAAAGCCUGGGCCCAGGAUACCAUCACCAAAGAGGAAAAGAGGCAAGAAGCCUAUGGCUGAAUGAGAAGAGCAGUCCAAGUCCUUUAAGGAACAUUGGUCCCUCACUAAGACUUGCCCUCGAGAUCAAGGCAUCAUCACAUACAUUGGAGGCAGAAGAGUGUACCACUCAGAAGGGCUUAUUGGGCUAUGGAGCAACAGCUUCAAAAGCUCUUGGACCAAAGAACAGACACACCUGGGGACCUUUCCAACCAGUGACACAGAGCCCACAGAAGAGGUAGGGGGACAGUCCUGGGUGCCCACAGCAGAGGGGGUUG